GACCCAAACACCCGGCCCGGUGCACUUUGGAGCCGCGCUGCUCCUCGGCCUUCCGGUGUGAAGGCCGGGGAACCUCCUCCCCUACUGGGCACCCCCACCUUCGUGGCCCAGACCCCCCCCCCGCCCCUCUUUCGCGGGGGGGAGUGCGGCGACGGUUGCCGGGAAGCGCGCGCCGCCCCUCCCUUCCCUCCUCGGUCCUCCCCUCACGCGCCACCCGUUUUUCCUCUUUCUCCGUUAAUAACAGCUGGGUGGCUGGGGGAGGAGGGAAGGUGGCCCCGGCGGAGUCUGGGCGGGCGCCUCCCACUCACCCGCGAGCCGCCGUGUGAGCGGGAGGAUGGCGGCGGUAGUUGCGGCCGCCCGGGAGGAGGCGGUACCGAGGCCCCGGGCGCAGAGCGCGGCGGCGGCGGCAGAGAGCGGCAGCGGCCCGUCCCGGAGCACCAGAACCGAAACCAGCGGCAGCCGCACAGCCACCUGAGCCGCCCCUCCCGCCGGAGCUAGAGAGCGGCGUCCGCCGCAGCCCGACCUCCUUCCUCUCCGCCUCUCCUCGUUUCCUGCGACCUCCCGCAGGCCACCGGUCUCGCCCGCCGCCCCCGAGCACAAGAGCGCGCCGGGCGCCUACCGCCCUUCGGGGCGCGGGGCGGCGGUCCUGGACGUGCGGGCUGCUUCUUGCGCGGGUCGCGGCGCCUCGGCCCUUCCCGCUCGUUCCUGCGCUCGCUCCCGCCCUCCCGGCGCUCCGGGCGCCGCGCGCGGGCCCGGCCCGGGGCUGGGCGGACAUGGGCGCCAAGCAGAGCGGCCCGGCCGCUGCUAACGGCCGCACUCGCGCCUACUCGGGCUCGGAUCUACCUUCCAGCAGCAGCGGAGGAGCCAAUGGGACCGCGGGCGGUGGCAGCGGCGGCGGUGGCGGCGGAGGGGCGCGGGCCGCGGGCCCGGGGAGGUUUCCGGCUCAGGUGUCCGGCGCGCACCAGCCCAGCGCCUCGGGCGGCGCCGCGGCGGCCUCGGCGGCCCCGCGCAGCCGCUCCCUCGGCGGGGCCGGGGGGAGCGUGGCGUCGGCGGCCCGCGCGGCGCAGUCCUCCUUCAACAUCCCCAACAGCAGCAGCGGCCCGUACGGCUCGCAGGACUCGGUGCACAGCAGCCCCGAGGACGGCGGCGGCAGCAGGGACCGGCCGGCGAGCGGGGGCCCCGGCGGACCGCGCCUGGUGAUCGGCUCCUUACCAGCUCACCUCUCGCCGCACAUGUUUGGAGGAUUUAAGUGCCCUGUAUGCUCAAAAUUUGUACCUUCAGAUGAAAUGGAUUUGCAUCUUGUGAUGUGUUUAACAAAGCCAAGAAUAACCUAUAAUGAGGAUGUACUGAGUAAAGAUGCUGGGGAAUGUGCAAUAUGCCUUGAAGAAUUGCAGCAGGGAGAUACUAUAGCACGACUGCCUUGUCUAUGCAUAUAUCAUAAAGGCUGCAUAGAUGAAUGGUUUGAAGUAAAUAGAUCUUGCCCGGAGCACCCUUCAGACUAAGCAUCAGCUUCCUGUUUUAUAGGUUUUCUUGUGUUUUCAAGAUGCUUGAAAAACUGAGAGGAGAUGAGGAUCUGUCUCGGGAAAAAGAAAAACAAAACUGCAGGCAUACUCAGCCAGAGAUCUGAGUUCUGUGAGACUUGGUAACGCAGAGAUGGACAAUCACACGGGGAGAAACCCUGCUGAAAAGAGGGCAGUUGCCACAGAACUCAGUGUACCAAACAUGCAUAUAGAGGACACACAGGGAUUUUGAAAAUGCUGCACCUCCCUUACUAGUCAUCUACAUAGGAUAAAUACCCAGGAGUAUCAUUGCCAAGUCUUAUGAAGGAAAUCCUGACGCAUGGCUACAGCAUGGAUGGACCUGAGGACAUCAUGCUAAGCGAAGUGAGCCAGUUACACAGAAAGAAAUGCUGUGUGAUUCUACUUAUAUGAGGUACUUAAAAUAGUUAGAAUCCUAGAGACAGAAAGGGUGGCUGCCAGGGGCUGGGAAGAGGGGAGAGUAGGGAGUUCUCUCAUGGGUCUAGAGUUUCAGUGCUCUAAGAAGAGAAUUCUAGAGAUGGAUGGUGGUGAUUAUUGUGCAACAUGACAAAUAUAUUUAAUGCCACUGAACCGUUCUCUUAAAAAUAGUUAAGAUGGUGGGGCGCCUGGGUGGCUCGCUUGAGCGUCCAACUUUGGCUCAGGUCAUGAUCUCACAGCUUGUGGGUUCGAGCCCCGUGUUGGGGCUCUGUGCUGACGGCUCAGAGCCUGGAACCUGCUUCAGAUUCUGUGUCUCCCUCUCUCUCUGCCCCUCCCCCCCUUGCUCUGUCUCAAAAAUAAACAUUAAAAAAAUUAAAAAUGAAAAUAGUUAAGAUGGUAAAUUUUAUGUAUAUUUUACCACAAUAAAAACAAUUGGGAAAAAAAUGUCACGAAGUAGGUAGAACGGGAACAUGGCACGCAAAAAUGAACUGUUACUAUUGUGUUCUGUAUACGCAUUAUCUUUAAAAUUUCCUUUAAUAUAGCAACACUACUGCUUUCAUAACAGAAAGCACUGACAGGAAAAAAAAAAUCAGGGAAAAAAUUUUUGAGAUCUUUGGGUAGUUGUUAUUUGCCCCAGGAAGUACCCAGGUAGUCAUGGGAAAAACUUGUUUAACAUCCUCGCACUUACUUUAUAAUUUGCUAUUGUUUUAAAAAAUUUUUUACUACAGAUCAUUGGGGGCCCAUAACCUUUCCAGUUUUAGGUUUUAGUUUAGGUUUACGUUUUUGGCCGGUCUUGGGUGCAGUCCAUUCGAUUUUCAGGCUGAGGGACUUGUGCCGGGAUGGCCCCUGGGGCCCCGCAGUUCUCCGAGAAGCGCAUCUGUGUGGUCACAGGAGCCCCGGCCUCCUCACCAGCUUAUUCCAUUUGCACGAAAACUCCUCCCCAUGGACCUGGGAUAGUGAUCCUGGUUUUGUCUUUCAACUCCAGGGCAAGCGUGGUUUUUUUUGUUUUUUUUUUUCUGUAAGUGAUCAAUUAAUCACUAGAAAUAGACAUGUGGAGCACCUGGAAGUGGACCAAAAUAUCCGGGAGCCAAAUGCUUCCAGUCUGGCAGCAGAAGGGGAUGCCUGGCGAAGGCUCGAGGGCCCAGCUUGGUGUGGAGCAGGAGACGGGGGCUCCUGCUCCCGUCUCGACUGUGUGAGGAAGACCUGGAUGUGCCUCCCGCUGUCUGGUGAGUGACACUUAAAUGGGUAGCGCUGUUUGGGGAUAACGAUGAAAACUAACGGCUAUGCUUUUCGCUGACAGAGCUAGACUGUUCCAAGAAGCUUGAGGUGGAUUAUUUUUGGACUUGACUUUGAGAACUUCCAGGCCCAUAUUUGACCUUGUUGGGAAGUUCCCUAAGCCCAAGCGUUGAGAAGAGAACCACCUGGGCGGUCCAUCGUGAGCUGAAAUGAGCAAUGUCGGUCUCACGGUAACUGGCGUAUACUGAGCAGGGACCCUGCGCCGGACGUUGCUGUGCUGCUUACCAUGCGUCAGCACGUCUGGUCCUCACAACCACUCUGUGAGCAGUACUCUAGGAUUCCCAUUUUUCAAAAAGCAAAUUAAGAUUCCGAUAGUCUUAGGUGCUGGCCCAAAGCCACCUAGUGACUUGACCUGGCUUUUUUUAGAAGUUCCAAAUCAGCACAGACAUGCCAUAAAUCCAGGUCUGAAAUAUGGGAACUGUCAUUUCCCUAAACCAACCAAAAUGUCCUGUGGGAGGAAACAGUCCUAAGUCUGUGGCUUUUUUUUUUUUUUUUCCAAUUUUCAAUGGAUUUCUUCUUCUUGAUUAGGAAAGGUCUCCUCUUCUUGUGCAGAAACUCACCAGUGAGUAAUGGAGAACCUUUCCAGCAAAUUAGGAGACUUGAGAAAUAGAAAAUCCUUCAUUUACCGUUGGAAGACCAGAGCAUUUCCAAAUAGACUUUAAGCCAACACUACAUAAAUUCGAAUUUCCUUAGAGGCAGCAGUUUUAAUGUUGAUAAUCUCUAAGAGCAGUACUAUUGGGUGGUUUCUGAGUAAACUUUAGACUCUCAAAAGUUUAGUUUUAGUGGUUUAAUAAAACCUGAAUCUGUAUAGUUCUUUUAGUCGGCAAGUCUGAGGUCGAAGCACCCUGGCCAUCAGCUAACCACGCUCAUUCCACAUCGGUUGCCCAGAAUCUCUGGUAGAGACAGUCACCCCGUGAAGCAGCCACUCUUGGGUGAGUAGUCGGGUCUGGGGUGAGGGCAGAGGUGGGGGGGGAGCUACCAAAGCAGUCCCUUAGGGGGACGGCCACCACGUGGCUGAAUGGCUGGGUAGGAUUUUCAGAGUUAACUUCCUAAAUUGUACUGGGGCUGCUGUACAAAGCCAGACUGGGCCUCCGAGAACUCAAAGGUACUGUCGGUAGGCACCCCCCUCGCUUCCCCUCUCCUGUUGGAUCUUUAUCUUGCCACAGUGGAUGAAAGGUCCACCUGGAUCUUCCCUGCAGCAGUGAACAGACCCAGAAAGGAGUCCGUGUGGAACAUGGCCCGCCAGGGCCCACUAGAGCGCGGGGCGAGGGCCCAGGGGCCAUAUCCUAACCCCAGCCACCCCUGACCAAGUCUGUUCCUCUAAGAAGCCAGCUGUGUGGAUUCACAGGUCAGAUGGAGGGAAAGGCCUCAGUUACUUCCUCGGCUUUUCUUGGUCCCUCGGUAGGUGGAGAGGCCUGCGAAGGACCAUACCGAUGACUGCUCUGGCCUCCCUCCCCAGGCUCUUCACAGCACCGCACCCCAGGGCCCCACCCGACGCACUGGGUGUCUCUGAAGGGAGUCAGGCAUGCAGUACAGGGAUCCCAGGCUGAAUCCCUUUUAAAAACCCCAGACUCGGGCAAUUAGAAGGAGUGUUUUCAAUAUUUUAUUAACAAAUAAAUGGGUAGAACAAUUUCUCUGGUAAUCUCACCGCCCCCCCCCCACCCCCAUUUAACGUCCAGCAUGUGGCCGCCAUGAUGGUCGGUGUGUAACCUGCUCUGCUAGCUGGGUUCUCAGCAGCCCCCUCGGCCUAGUUCAGUCAUCCUCCCGAGGACUUUGGGGCAAAGAGAAAACUCCCCUCCUCAAGAGCGCGAGAGAGAGACAGAAGCUUCUGCUUGGAGGCCAGGGCCACAAAGGCAAGCCAGGCCUUAUUCCUUUUGGAGGAGGGGCACAGGUUCUUCUUCCUAGGGCAGAGCACUUGUGCCCGCCCCCAUCCGCUUUCCCGAGGAGGUGAGCCCAGCGUGAGAAAGCCCUGAGCGGAAACUCAACGUUACGAGGACACCACUCUUUUCUCUUAGACCUGCUAAGAGGGCACCCGGCGAUCUCUGUCAGCAGAGUGAGACUCUAGGACUAAAACAAAAGCCUAGGAGGAGCCCUUGCCUUGGCAAAACCUUGGGUGGAUCAAAUUGCAACACUGCACAGACCUAGUAACUACAGCGGUGAGGUGAGCAGACCGUCAACCUGUCGGGGAGUACGGAGGAGGAAGAGACUAUUCCAGGUAAAACACUUGGUCGUCGAGCACCUUUUCUCCAAGAAGUUUGGCACUAACUCUAUACCAUCAAUUCUUCCAUGAAGAUAGCGUGACCAACUCAUCUCCAGGGUCCUCAGGGCAGGCGUUUGAGCUCAGUCUUCUUCCUCUAAUGUCCGAUAAAGAUAACCCUACACGUGCAUUACGUCUCUUCAUAGUGUAUUUACAGUAAGUAAAACGGCCUGCCAGGCACACUCACGCCCUGCAAAAUUGUAACAGCUGCUCAGGGAUGCUCGUGCCCGUCACCAAGGCAGCAGGGUCCCCUGAGACUCCAAGAGGGGCGAAUGCACGGGGCGGCUGGCUCUGCUAGCGGGCCGCCCGGGGCCCACACCCCGUGCACAGCAGCGGCCUCUCAGAAGCAGAUGAUCCGCUUCUCGUCUUGGAAGACUUUGGCCUCCUCUGGCUUUAUCAAGUUUCCAUUUAGGCUGUCGGGGAGAAACAAAGAACACAAAACAUUAGCGGGUUGUAGGAGCCUUCCCGGGACGUGUUCCCAACACCCUCCUGUUCUUCACGUGGCCCAGAAGUUCCGGAACAUGCUCCAUUCAGACACUUGCUUGGUAAGAUUACUCCCUUCCAGCUGUCGUCGCUCUAUGAACUGGGUCUCACUGAGGUCACCAAUACCCUCUAGGAGCCUGAACUUAAUGACCUUGUCUCAGGCCUCGUCUGUCCCGUCCUUCACGGGCGUUUGGCUGUUCUCUCCCCUGCCUCCUUGAACCACCACAUUUGCUCAGCUUGAUUUCUUGCUCUCUGGUUUUCUCCUGUGUCUGCCACUCCACCUCCGUCUCCUCUCCCAUGUUCUCCCGUACGUGGCCUCUAGAUACUGGAUUUCCUCUAGACUGGGGGCUUGGCCCUUUUCCCCAGCUGACCUCAUCCCUACGUGAGUGGACCUGCGGCCCAGACCUCUCCCAUGUGGCUCCACUUACUUGACAUCUUCACUUGGACGCCACCCAGGGACCCUGGCUCAGUGCACGGGACCACUCUUUAUCCACCUGUGCAAGGUAGCAACCUGGGGGUCGGCCUUGACCCCCUCAUCUUUGUAGUCUAUCACAAAGUUCUAUCUUAUUCCCUAAACAUCCCCAGAGUGCCUCCCUGGGACCUUUCCACGUCCUCACCACCACCAUGGUGGUCUGAGCGCCAUCGUCUCUUCUCUGGAGCACUGCAGUGCCCUCCUGCCUGGUCUCUUUACAUGUACUCUUCUGGCCUCUUCAAAUCCAUUUUCCUGGAGGAGCCAGAAUGGUCUUUGUAAUGCAAAUCUGAUCAUAUCCCUCUUUGCUUCACACCCCUCCACGACUUGCCAUUGCUUUUAGGAUACAGACCCGAAUACGUGGCACGACCCACAGAUCUCUUAUGGUCUAGUCUACCCCCUCUCCUCUGCCCCCUGUUGCCCCUUCUCCCGUGCCAUCUGAACCCCAGGGCCCACGGACAUCUUGCCGUUUUUCAAGGGCACCAGGCCCCUUCCUGCCUCCAAGCCUUGGCAUUAUGCUAUUCCCUCUACCGGUCAGCCAGUCAGACCUUCACAUUUACUCGGCUGAAUUUUGUGUAACAGACUUGGUGGCAGCGUUGGGAUCUGAAGCAAACUUCCUCCGGCCUCCGGGGCCAAGGAGACCCACAGGCAGGGCGCCCUGCCAGCGCGCUUCUGAGUUCAAGACAUGCCACCUUCCAGCCCACCUGCCCAUUUUAUGUCUGAUCACGAUGGCACCAGGACAUGUGACUACCUACUGAAAUGGCAAAACGUUACCAAAAACCACCUAGAAGUACAAUGGCCACUAUGGGGAACGUUCCCAUUAGGCGUGAGGGCAUUUAGAAGCACAUCUGAGAGCACAGGUUCCCCAAGUAAAACGCAUUAGGAUACCUGCGUAAAUUGCUGCGUAAAGCAGCAGCUCUGAAAGGUUUCACAAUUCCAAAAACAGUUUCAUUAAAAGGUUAAUUAAGAGAUUUAGCAAGAGACUAAACACGACACCACAAAUAUUAGUAAUGUAGGGUCUUUGCAUCUGCGUGUUUGUAUGUACGUUAUAAAAACACGACAUAUUGUCCCACCUCUGGAUGGCACUGCUGACGUUAAUUUGUAAAAGAGCUCUAGUUAGUUGGUUUUGUAGGGGCCAAGGACAGGCUGCUCCAAAAUGUGCUGCGCUGGCAUCCUGAAAAAAAUUUGUCGUAAUGUUUUUCUUUCUUUUUGAGAGAGAGAGAGAGAGAGAGCACAAGCAGGGAAGGAGCAGAGAGAGAGAGGGAGAUACAGAAUCCGAAGCAGGCUCUGAGCUGUCAGCACAGAGCCCCACAGGGGGCUCAAACUCGUGAACCGUGAGAUCAUGACCUGAGCCAAAGUCGGAUGCCCAACUGACUGAGCCACCCAGACGGCCCCAUGGCAUACUGAUUAUUUUAAAUAAAACUUAUUUAAGAGACAGCCUGCGCAAGAAGGGCAUUCGGACCCUCCUCUGUCCCCUGGAAGCAGGAAGUAAAUCUCCCAUCUGAAAGAUCACCCUCCCUUUACCAGGGAGGUAAAGAGACCUUAUUACCAGAUAGGAAAUUUAGAGGCAAGAAAGCUGUAUAAACACCCCUUGUUAAUUUUUACUAAUAUAUAUCACACCCCAAAUUCUGUCAACAAUUCCUUACUAAUUGGAAUUCCUGAAGUUAAUUGAGUUUUCUUUGUCCUGCGGAUUUUUUUUAUGUUUAUUUAUUUAUUUUUUAGAGAGACAGGAGGAGACACAGAAUCAGAAGCAGGCUCCAAGCUGUCAGCACAGAGCCCGACGCGGGGCCUGAACCCAUGAACCGUGAGAUCAUGCCCUGAGCCCAAGUCGGUCACUUAACCUACUGAGCCACCCAGGUGCCCUGACCUGUCAAUUCUUCAUGGAUUCAUUUAUUGUCUCUUUGUCUACAAUGUAGGAAAACUGCCUGCCUUGGCCAUUUUGGCCCACUGUGCACUCAUAAUAAAACUCUGUGGUUUUUUUCCCCUGGUUAA